UUUUAUGAGAGUUUGAUCCUGGCUCAGGACGAACGCUGGCGGCGUGCCUAAUACAUGCAAGUCGAACGCUUCUUUUUCCACCGGAGCUUGCUCCACCGGAAAAAGAGGAGUGGCGAACGGGUGAGUAACACGUGGGUAACCUGCCCAUCAGAAGGGGAUAACACUUGGAAACAGG
rnacentral:rRNA from 2 species